GAGUGAGGGAGAGGCAGAUGGAAUUGGUGGUGUAGGGGUAAAAUCCGUAGAUAUCACCAAGAAUACCCAUUGCGAAGGCGAUCUGCUGGAACUCAACUGACGCUAAGGCGCGAAAGCGUGGGGAGCAAACAGGAUUAGAUACCCUGGUAGUCCACGCCCUAAACGAUGUACACUAGUUGUUGGGGUGCUAGUCAUCUCAGUAAUGCAGCUAACGCAUUAAGUGUACCGCCUGGGGAGUACGGUCGCAAGAUUAAAACUCAAAGGAAUAGACGGGGACCCGCACAAGCGGUGGAGCAUGUGGUUUAAUUCGAAGAUACGCGAAGAACCUUACCUGGGCUUGAUAUCCUAAGAACCUUUUAGAGAUAAGAGGGUGCUAGCUUGCUAGAACUUAGAGACAGGUGCUGCACGGCUGUCGUCAGCUCGUGUCGUGAGAUGUUGGGUUAAGUCCCGCAACGAGCGCAACCCACGUAUUUAGUUGCUAACGGUUCGGCCGAGCACUCUAAAUAGACUGCCUUCGUAAGGAGGAGGAAGGUGUGGACGACGUCAAGUCAUCAUGGCCCUUAUGCCCAGGGCGACACACGUGCUACAAUGGCAUAUACAAUGAGACGCAAUACCGCGAGGUGGAGCAAAUCUAUAAAAUAUGUCCCAGUUCGGAUUGUUCUCUGCAACUCGAGAGCAUGAAGCCGGAAUCGCUAGUAAUCGUAGAUCAGCCAUGCUACGGUGAAUACGUUCCCGGGUCUUGUACUCACCGCCCGUCACACCAUGGGAGUUGAUUUCACUCGAAGCCGGAAUACUAAACUAGUUACCGUCCACAGUGGAAUCAG
rnacentral:rRNA from 1 species